rnacentral:hammerhead_ribozyme from 1 species
AUCCAACAGACGAGUACCGAAUAGGACGAAAAGCGCAUCCUGGAU